rnacentral:pre_miRNA from 1 species
GAUGCGUGCAUAUUUACUGGAGUACUCCCUCCAUUGUCCGUCUUAUUUAAAUUUUUGUAUGAUUAGUACUUUUAUUAUUAUUAGAUUAUAAAACAUUAAUAAUACUUUAUGCGUGACUUUUGUUUUUCAGCUUUUUCAAAAAAAAAAAUUCAAACAAGUCAAACGCUUAAAGUUAGACACGGACUUAUGGUUAUGCUUAUU